AUAGAUAUUUCUCAUACCAAACCGGGCAGAGAGGCUGGAAACGGCAGAGGAGGAAAAGAAGAAAGAAAAGAAAAGAAAAAGAAGAAGAAAAAGAAGAGGAGAAAAAGGAAGGAAAAUAGAUAGUUCAAGCUUAUUUCCAUUCUCCUUUCUCUAUAUUUUCUUCAAGAGGUAAAUGAAUGAUUUUAUGUUAAAUUUUUAGGGUUUUAACUUGUGGUAUAAAUUUCAGAUUUAAGAGGCUAAGAGUACAAAUUGGAGCUCAAGUUUGUUGAUUCUUUAAUCUCCAAUUUCAUUAAGGUGAUGACGUGAAAGCUUGACAAGGUUGGUCAAUUUGACCAGAUUGCUAUCCAUAGAUCUAUGAGUGGAGAAUCUACGUUUCCAAAAAGAAUAUUUUCUUUUUAUUUUAUAGAAGCAAAUUAAUUACAUGAGAUGCCUUAUUUUCUUACUCUAGUGCACCGAGGGGUUAUGGCCAUGUACUAGAGUCAUGUAUUUAACUCCUAUACACUGAGGGGCUACAGCCGUGUGUAAGGGUAUUUCUUAUCCACUGAGGGGCUACGACCGUGGGUAAAGGUAUCCAUUAUACAUUAAGGGGCUACAGCCGUGUAUAAAGAUGAUUAUGUUGUUUCCAUCUUGUACAUUGAGGGGCUACGACUGUGUACAGAGUAUUGAUCAGAAGGUUUAUAUAGCAUUCGAGUUGAGCAGUAUUAGAGCCUGUCGAUCCACUGAAUUGAGCCACGCGUCAUUAGUUGUAUGGUCCACUUUAUGAUAUUAGGUAGUACCUGUUUCUUAGGUUACAUGUAGUUUAUGUUAGAAAAGAUUGUUAUGAGAUCACUAUAUGGUAUAUUUAGUACAUUUGAGGAUUGUUGAUAGAAAAGCAAGUAAAUUUCAAAUUUUCAGUAUUUUAUUUUGAAUAAUUUGCAUUUUGAGGCACUAUUGUACUUGUUUUAU